rnacentral:rRNA from 1 species
UACGUAGGCAGCAAGCGUUGUUCGGAGUUACUGGGCGUAAAGGGUGUGUAGGUGGCCUGUUAAGUUCCGUGUGAAAUCUCCCGGCUCAACCGGGAGGGUGCGCGGAAAACUGGCGGGCUAGAGUACGGGAUGGGAGAGUAGAAUUCCUGGUGUAGCGGUGAAAUGCGUAGAUAUCAGGAGGAACACCGGUGGGCGAAGGCGGGUCUCUGGGACC